UACGUAGGUGGCAAGCGUUUGUCCGGAAUUAUUGGGCGUAAAGCGCGCGCAGGCGGCCUCCUAAGUCCGAUGUGAAAGCCCACGGCUCAACCGUGGAGGGUCAUUGGAAACUGGGGGACUUGAGUGCAGGAGAGAAGAGUGGAAUUCCACGUGUAGCGGUGAAAUGCGUAGAGAUGUGGAGGAACACCGGUGGCGAAGGCGGCAUCCUGGACCAACACUGACACUGAGGAGCGAAAGCCAGGGAGCAAACGGG
rnacentral:rRNA from 1 species